rnacentral:rRNA from 1 species
GAUGAACGCUGGCGGCGUGCCUAAUACAUGCAAGUCGAGCGAACAGAUGAGGAGCUUGCUCCUCUGUCGUUAGCGGCGGGCGGGUGAGUAACAUGUGGAUAAUCUACCUAUAAGACUGGGAUAACUUCGGGAAACCGGAGCUAAUAGCGGAUAAUAUCUUGCACCGCUUGGUUCGAUAGUGAAUGACGGGUUUGUUGUCUAUUCUAGCUGGAUACGCGCCGCAUUAGCUUGUUGGUAAGGUAACGGCUUACCAAGGCAACGAUGCGUAGCCGACCUGAGAGGGUGAUCGGCCACACUGGAACGGAGACACGGUCCAGACUCCGACGGGAGGCAGCAGUAGGGAAUCUUCCGCAAUGGGCGAAAGCCUGACGGAGCAACGCCGCGUGAGUGAUGAAGGUCUUCGGAUCGUAAAACUCUGUUAUUAGGGAAGAACAAAUGUGUAAGUAACUAUGCACGUCUUGACGGUACCUAAUCAGAAAGCCACGGCUAACUACGUG